CCUACGGUGUGCUGUAGUGGGGAAUAUUGGACAAUGGGCGAAAGCCUGAUCCAGCCAUGCCGCGUGUGUGAAGAAGGCCUUCGGGUUGUAAAGCACUUUCAGUGGGGAAGAAAGCCUUGGGGCUAAUACCCUCGAGGAAGGACAUCACCCACAGAAGAAGCACCGGCUAACUCCGUGCCAGCAGCCGCGGUAAUACGGAGGGUGCGAGCGUUAAUCGGAAUUACUGGGCGUAAAGCGCGCGUAGGCGGUCUGAUAAGCCGGUUGUGAAAGCCCCGGGCUCAACCUGGGAACGGCAUCCGGAACUGUCAGGCUAGAGUGCAGGAGAGGAAGGUAGAAUUCCCGGUGUAGCGGUGAAAUGCGUAGAGAUCGGGAGGAAUACCAGUGGCGAAGGCGGCCUUCUGGACUGACACUGACGCUGAGGUGCGAAAGCGUGGGUAGCAAACAGGAUUAGAUACCCUGGUAGUC
rnacentral:rRNA from 1 species